UUCGAUGCAACGCGAAAACCUUACCUACCUUGACAUGUCCGGAAUCCGAAGAGAUUUGGAGUACUCGCAAGAGAACCGGAACACAGGUGCUGCAUGGCUGUCGUCAGCUCGUGUCGUGAGAUGUUGGGUUAAGUCCCGCAACGAGCGCAACCCUUGUCAUUAGUUGCCAUCAUUUGGUUGGGCACUCUAAUGAGACUGCCGGUGACAAACCGGAGGAAGGUGGGGAUGACGUCAAGUCCUCAUGGCCCUUAUGGGUAGGGCUUCACACGUCAUACAAUGGUCGGUACAGAGGGUUGCCAACCCGCGAGGGGGAGCUAAUCCCACAAAGCCGAUCGUAGUCCGGAUCGCAGUCUGCAACUCGACUGCGUGAAGUCGGAAUCGCUAGUAAUCGUGGAUCAGCAUGUCACGGUGAAUACGUUCCCGGGUCUU
rnacentral:rRNA from 1 species